CCUGAAGUUACAGUGGAGCAGAUUAAAGCCAAUAAUCCUAUCUCCCUGAAGUUAUAGUGGAGCGGAUUAAAAUCACAGAUCUUAUCUCUCUGGAGUUGCAGAGAGCAGAUCGCAUCAAAUUCAUCUUUAAGUUGUAAUAGAUCAAGUUGAAGCUAUAAGUCUUAUCUUCCUGAAGUUGCAGUGGAGCACAUUAAAGAUAGCAAAU
rnacentral:lncRNA from 1 species